rnacentral:rRNA from 1 species
GAUGAACGCUGGCGGCGUGCCUAAUACAUGCAAGUCGAGCGAAUGGAUUAAGAGCUUGCUCUUAUGAAGUUAGCGGCGGACGGGUGAGUAACACGUGGGUAACCUGCCCAUAAGACUGGGAUAACUCCGGGAAACCGGGGCUAAUACCGGAUAACAUUUUGAACCGCAUGGUUCGAAAUUGAAAGGCGGCUUCGGCUGUCACUUAUGGAUGGACCCGCGUCGCAUUAGCUAGUUGGUGAGGUAACGGCUCACCAAGGCAACGAUGCGUAGCCGACCGGAGAGGGUGAUCGGCCACACUGGGACUGAGACACGGCCCAGACUCCUACGGGAGGCAGCAGUAGGGAAUCUUCCGCAAUGGACGAAAGUCUGACGGAGCAACGCCGCGUGAGUGAUGAAGGCUUUCGGGUCGUAAAACUCUGUUGUUAGGGAAGAACAAGUGCUAGUUGAAUAAGCUGGCACCUUGACGGUACCUGACCAGAGAGCCACGGCUAACUACGUGCCAGCCGCCGCCGUAA